CUGCUCGCUUCAGCAGCACAUAUACUAAAAUUGGAACAAUACAGAGAAGAUUAACAUGGCCCCUAUGUAUGGAUGACACGCAAAUUCAUGAAGUGUUCCUUAUUUUU